GAUCUCAUUCAUAUUAGGUUAGUGCUAGAGAUGUGACUAGAUUUCAAAUGGCCUAUUCCAAUCUUCUUAAAGCUCAUUUGGAUGGUUUAAAGAAAAGAGACAAGAAAUCAGUUACUGUAGAGAAAAGACAGAAAAAA